rnacentral:ncRNA from 2 species
AGUAGAUCCUGGAGAUGUGGUUACACAGCUUGAAUGAAAACAGGUCCUCAAGAGUUGACUUGCUGAACCAUAGGCCAUAAAUGGAGAAAUAACCCAAAGCCAGCUGCCAACAGUGAAAACUGUCCAAUGAUACAGCAGUGUUCGAGUUGAUACAGCUAGUUCCACCAGUGGGUGAAACACUGUCUACGUAUGACGAAAAUACACGAGAUUUCAUGUUUCCGGGUCCAAACCAAAUGUCUGGACACCAUGAUUCAAACCGCCAGGUUACCAUGAGGAGGAUUUCUGGCCUUCGA